CCUUAGUUAGCUUAUUUAAAGCUUUAAACUCUUAAUUUAAAAGAAGAUAGUUAAACCCUAUUACUAAGGA
rnacentral:tRNA from 1 species